CAGUUAUAUAAGACCGUACCGCAAACCGACACAGGUGGGUAGGAUGAGAAUUCUAAGGCGCUUGAGAGAACCCGGGAGAAGGAACUCGGCAAAUUAGCACCGUAACUUCGGGAGAAGGUGCGCCCUGGUAGUGUGUAGCGACUUGCUCGUGAAGCACGAUAGGGUUGCAGUGAAAAGGUGGCUGCGACUGUUUAAUGAAAACACAGCACUCUGCAAACACGAAAGUGGACGUAUAAGGUGUGACGCCUGCCCGGUGCUGGAAGAUUAAAUGAUGGGGUGCAAGCUCUUGAUUGAAGUCCCAGUAAACGGCGGCCGUAACUAUAACGGUCCUAAGGUAGCGAAAUUCCUUGUCGGGUAAGUUCCGACCCGCACGAAUGGCGUAACGAUGGCCACACUGUCUCCUCUCGGGACUCAGCGAAGUUGAAAUGUUUGUGAAGAUGCAAUCUACCCGCGGCUAGACGGAAAGACCCCAUGAACCUUUACUGUAGCUUUACAUUGGACUUUGACAAGAUUUGUGUAGGAUAGGUGGGAGACGUUGAAGCGGAGUCGCUAGAUUUCGUGGAGUCAACCUUGAAAUACCACCCUGAUGUUGUUGAGGUUCUAACCUAGGUCCAUAAUCUGGACUGGGGACCGUGUAUGGUGGGCAGUUUGACUGGGGCGGUCUCCUCCCAAAGAGUAACGGAGGAGUGCGAAGGUAACCUAGGUACGGUCGGAAAUCGUACUGAUAGUGCAAUGGCAUAAGGUUGCUUGACUGCGAGACGGACAGGUCGAGCAGGUGCGAAAGCAGGUCAUAGUGAUCCGGUGGUUCUGUAUGGAAGGGCCAUCGAUCAACGGAUAAAAGGUACUCUGGGGAUAACAGGCUGAUUCCUCCCAAGAGUUCAUAUCGACGGGGGAGUUUGGCACCUCGAUGUCGGCUCAUCACAUCCUGGGGCUGUAGCCGGUCCCAAGGGUAUGGCUGUUCGCCAUUUAAAGUGGUACGUGAGCUGGGUUUAAAACGUCGUGAGACAGUUUGGUCCCUAUCUGCCGUGGGCGCUGGAAAUUUGAAGGGACCUGCUCCUAGUACGAGAGGACCGGAGUGGACGUAUCUCUGGUGGACCGGUUAUCAUGCCAAUGGUAUAGCCGGGUAGCUAAAUACGGAAGAGAUAAACGCUGAAAGCAUCUAAGCGUGAAACUCGCCUUGAGAUGAGAUUUCCCUGGGGGUUUAACCCCCCUAAAGAGUCGUUCGAGACCAGGACGUUGAUAGGACGGAUGUGGAAGCGCAGUAAUGCGUUAAGCUGACCGUUACUAAUUGCUCGUGAGGCUUGAUCCA
rnacentral:rRNA from 1 species